AGUUUACUCACUGAGGUGGCGAGCGGCGGACGGGUGAGUAAUGCCUAGGGAUCUGCCCAGUCGAGGGGGAUAACAGUUGGAAACGACUGCUAAUACCGCAUACGCCCUACGGGGGAAAGAGGGGGACCUUCGGGCCUCUCGCGAUUGGAUGAACCUAGGUGGGAUUAGCUAGUUGGUGAGGUAAUGGCUCACCAAGGCGACGAUCCCUAGCUGUUCUGAGAGGAUGAUCAGCCACACUGGGACUGAGACACGGCCCAGACUCCUACGGGAGGCAGCAGUGGGGAAUAUUGCACAAUGGGGGAAACCCUGAUGCAGCCAUGCCGCGUGUGUGAAGAAGGCCUUCGGGUUGUAAAGCACUUUCAGUAGGGAGGAAAGGGUGAGUCUUAAUACGGCUCAUCUGUGACGUUACCUACAGAAGAAGGACCGGCUAACUCCGUGCCAGCAGCCGCGGUAAUACGGAGGGUCCGAGCGUUAAUCGGAAUUACUGGGCGUAAAGCGUGCGCAGGCGGUUUGUUAAGCGAGAUGUGAAAGCCCUGGGCUCAACCUAGGAAUAGCAUUUCGAACUGGCGAACUAGAGUCUUGUAGAGGGGGGUAGAAU
rnacentral:rRNA from 1 species